rnacentral:rRNA from 1 species
AAUACAUGCAAGUCGAGCGAAUGGAUUAAGAGCUUGCUCUUAUGAAGUUAGCGGCGGACGGGUGAGUAACACGUGGGUAACCUGCCCCAUAAGACUGGGAUAACUCCGGGAAACCGGGGCUAAUACCGGAUAACAUUUUGAACCGCAUGGUUCGAAAUUGAAAGGCGGCUUCGGCUGUCACUUAUGGAUGGACCCGCGUCGCAUUAGCUAGUUGGUGAGGUAACGGCUCACCAAGGCAACGAUGCGUAGCCGACCUGAGAGGGUGAUCGGCCACACUGGGACUGAGACACGGCCCAGACUCCUACGGGAGGCAGCAGUAGGGAAUCUUCCGCAAUGGACGAAAGUCUGACGGAGCAACGCCGCGUGAGUGAUGAAGGCUUUCGGGUCGUAAAACUCUGUUGUUAGGGAAGAACAAGUGCUAGUUGAAUAAGCUGGCACCUUGACGGUACCUAACCAGAAAGCCACGGCUAACUACGUGCCAGCAGCCGCGGUAAUACGUAGGUGGCAAGCGUUACUCCGGAAUUAUUGGGCGUAAAGCGCGCGCAGGUGGUUUCUUAAGUCUGAUGUGAAAGCCCACGGCUCAACCGUGGAGGGUCAUUGGAAACUGGGAGACUUGAGUGCAGAAGAGGAAAGU